GAUGAACGCUAGCGAUAGGCUUAACACAUGCAAGUCGAGGGGCAGCAUGGUCUUAGCUUGCUAAGACUGAUGGCGACCGGCGCACGGGUGCGUAACGCGUAUGCAACUUGCCUCACAGAGGGGGAUAACCCGUCGAAAGACGGACUAAUACCGCGUACACUCCAUCUUGGGCAUCCAAGGUAGAGGAAAUGAAAUUCGCUGUGAGAUAGGCAUGCGUCCCAUUAGCUAGUUGGUGAGGUAACGGCUCACCAAGGCGACGAUGGGUAGGGGAACUGAGAGGUUGAACCCCCACACUGGUACUGAGACACGGACCAGACUACUACGGGAGGCAGCAGUGAGGAAUGUUGGUCAAUGGGCGAGAGCCUGAACCAGCCAAGUCGCGUGAAGGAUGACUGUCUUAUGGAUUGUAAACUUCUUUUAUACGGGAAUAACAAGAGUCACGUGUGACUCCCUGCAUGUACCGUAUGAAUAAGCAUCGGCUAACUCCGUG
rnacentral:rRNA from 1 species